GCUCCAGUGGCGCAAUCGGUCAGCGCACGGUACUUAUAAUGCCGAGGUUGUGAGUUCGAACCUCACCUGGAGCA
rnacentral:tRNA from 1 species